UGGGCAACCUGCCCCUCUCUCUGGGAUAACCCCGGGAAACCGGAGCUAAUACCGGAUACUCCGGCUGGAUCGCAUGGUCCGGCCGGGAAAGGUCCGCCGGAGAGGGAUGGGCCCGCGGCCUAUCAGCUUGUUGGUGGGUCAUGGCUCACCAAGGCGACGACGGGUAGCUGGUCUGAGAGGACGACCAGCCACGCUGGAACUGAGAUACGGUCCAGACUCCCGAGGGAGCAG
rnacentral:rRNA from 1 species